rnacentral:ncRNA from 1 species
AAGAAUGCAUUGAUAAGAUAAGUAUUCUUGUUUGUUUGCAAAGAGAGUCUAUGUUUGGUGCAAAUAGAUGAAAGAAACAAGAAGAAAAUGGUCUUUGAGCAAUCAAUGGCAAGUGUGGUUACAUGAGCUAUUGACGGUAGUACCCGUUAAAAAUACUGAGUAUAAAGCAUUUUUUUGUGAUGUACUUAAUGAGGUUGUUUCUGUGAAGAAGCAAUAAAUGAAGGUGGUAACACGGAAAAUCCGCCCUUCUC